AGCAGCCGCGGUAAUUCCAGCUCCAAUAGCGUAUAUUAAAGUUGUUGCAGUUAAAAAGCUCGUAGUUGAAUUUCGGGACCAAUCUGCCGGUCGUGCCUCCGGUACGCACUGGUUUUAUUGGUCUCUCCCUUCUGACGAACCAUGAUGUCAUUAAUUUGGUGUCAUGGGGAAUCAGGACUGUUACUUUGAAAAAAUUAGAGUGUUUAUAGCAGGCUCACGCCUGAAUACAUUAGCAUGGAAUAAUGAAAUAGGACGUUUGACCCUAUUUUGUUGGUUUCUAGGAUCGACGUAAUGAUUAAUAGGGAUAGUUGGGGGCAUUAGUAUUCAAUUGUCAGAGGUGAAAUUCUUGGAUUUAUUGAAGACUAACUACUGCGAAAGCAUUUGCCAAGGAUGUUUUCAUUAAUCAAGAACGAAAGUUAGGGGAUCGAAGACGAUCAGAUACCGUCGUAGUCUUAACCAUAAACUAUGCCGACUAGGGAUCGGAUGAUGUUAAUUUUUU
rnacentral:rRNA from 1 species